UGCCAGCAGCCGCGGUAAUACAGAGGUCUCAAGCGUUGUUCGGAAUUACUGGGCGUAAAGCGUGCGUGGGCGGCUUGGUAAGUCAGAUGUGAAAUCCCGAGGCUCAACCUCGGAACUGCAUCCGAUACUGCCAGGCUUGAGUAGUGGAGGGGAGUCUGGAAUUCACGGUGUAGCAGUGAAAUGCGUAGAUAUCGUGAGGAACACUAGUGGCGAAGGCGAGACUCUGGACACUUACUGACGCUGAGGCACGAAGGCGUGGGUAGCGAACCGGAUUAGAUA
rnacentral:rRNA from 1 species